rnacentral:rRNA from 1 species
UACAGAGGUCUCAAGCGUUGUUCGGAUUCAUUGGGCGUAAAGGGUGCGUAGGUGGCGGGGUUAGUCAGGUGUGAAAUCUCGGAGCUCAACUCCGAAACUGCACUUGAUACUGCCUUGCUAGAGUACUGGAGAGGAGAUUGGAAUUUACGGUGUAGCAGUGAAAUGCGUAGAUAUCGUAAGGAAGACCAGUGGCGAAGGCGAAUCUCUGGACAGUUACUGACACUGAGGCAGCGAAGGCCAAGGGGAGCAAACGGG